ensembl:ribozyme RNaseP_nuc Nuclear RNase P
GCAGGCACAGUGCAUGCUGGCAUCCAGGGUCCCUAGAAGGUCUAAGGCUGGGACCUCCUGCAGUCCUAACUAGGCUUUCCCUGAGUUCAGAGGUGAGUUCAGAAAGCAGGGCUCCACACCUGGAUAGGAGAGGCCCCAAGGGGACAGAUGCAUCCCUCACUAGAGCUUGCAACAGACUCCUGGUCACUCAUUUUGUUCAGUAAGUGGCUAUCCUUCUUGCCAGGAGAAGUACUCAUUUCUUGUCUGAACAGAUGUGGUCUCUGACUUGUAAAGAAAAGGUCUUCACGAUCUGAUGCCCUCUUCUGGUGUAUCUGAAGACAGCUACGGUGUACUUAGAUAUAUAAUAAAUAAAAUAAAUCUUAAAAAAAAAAAAAAAAGAAAAGGUCUUCACUGACGCUAUCCUGCCACAUUUAGCCCACUGAGAGGCAACAACCACUCCCUGC